CACUUUUCACCGGGUUGCCGCCGCCGCCGCCCCCGCCCCCAUCGCUUCUCUAACGCUGCCCAUCAGAGGACAGCCGUUUCUCUGCUGCUUCUUCUCUCGCCCUGCUCCAUCCCGACCAGCGCCACUGCCGCCCCUUUUCUCUCGUCUACGGGCGAGCCGUCACCGGUGAGGUGAGACGUCGUCUCCCGGCCAGGACAUAGCGGCAGAGAGGAGCAAGGAAGCAGCAGGGGAAGUCCAAUUGGAAAAGUUAGUGGCGCUACAGAUUUCUUGCUCCCUUGGUCGACGGGGAUGCGGUUUUCGUUGGUGGUGAUAGGAGGGGAACAUGCGUGGCGGUGACGGGAGGACCAUCAGAAGAAGAGGAGGAUGGGGAACAGGGAAGGAGGCCAAGCGGGGGAGGAGAGACAUGAAGCAUUCAUUUCCUGCCGUUUCUCCAGGUGCCUCCAUCGCUAUCAAUCUCGCAUCGAGAUGUCGACGGCAAUUCCAUCAUACCCGGUGUGAAGAAAUAAUCGACAAAAUUUAUAGGGAUCCUCCUCGCACUGCCUCUCUCCCUCUUCCUCUUCCUUGCUGCACCCAUGGCAACAAGCCAGCAAAGCUCGAUUUCACGCUGGAGAAUCUCAACCCCUUGACGGAAUCGAUCGAUUUCUCGUCCGAAUGGUCAAAUCCUUAUCAGGGAGGUCAAAUCCUUGCCAGGGAGAUUGACGGAGAAUGCUGAUUUCUUACUGGUCGCCUUUUUGAGCACCUAGGGCCAGUGCGACAUUAUGCCAGCGUGCCAACGCCCAGCGUUUAAGCACACCUAGGCAAGCGCCUAACAACACUCUUUUAACUAUGGUGCGGACAAUCUAAUACCAAAGGACUUGGCCCUCAAAAUUGCAACCAAGAUUAGAGCUGGCGAACGAUUUGCAGUUUAUGUAGUCAUACCAAUGUGGCCUGAAGGAAUCCCUACCUCAGCCUCUGAGCAAGAUUUUUUUCUUUUAGGCACAUUCAGGCAUGAUGGGUUCCGGUCCACUCUUCUGGCAAGACCCUCCUGGUGAACGAGCGUGGCGUCCUCAUGGAGAGCCUGCAAAUGGGGGAAUUUUACUACCUAAUUCUUCGCUUCUGGUGCUGCAUCCAACAAGAUGAAUGAUUCUAAUGAACAAGCGGGGAAUGCUACUUCAAGUUGAUUGGUUCAUCUUCUAUUUCAUUGCAAAAUCAACAUAACUAUUUACUUGUUCCUGUGUUUGUAGGUACUCAUAUCGAUCUAAUUAAUCAGCUCCAUAUCUAGCCGGUUAGAAGAAUGAGGGUUUCUGUAUAUGUAUGAAAGGAAACCAAAGAAGCUUGCAUUUCUGAUCAAGCUUCAAUGAGUGCUAGUGUUCUUGCUUUCCAUGUUGAUGUAUGUUACCUCUGGAUGAAUCGUCUUCCUGCUGAGAGUUUCCUCUUUCAGUGUUGGAGAUGUUGUAGCAGCUUACAAUUACUAGGAGAA